rnacentral:rRNA from 1 species
UACGUAGGGUGCAAGCGUUGUCCGGAAUUAUUGGGCGUAAAGAGCUCGUAGGCGGUCUGUCGCGUCGGCUGUGAAAACCCGAGGCUCAACCUCGGGCCUGCAGUCGAUACGGGCAGACUAGAGUGCUGUAGGGGAGACUGGAAUUCCUGGUGUAGCGGUGAAAUGCGCAGAUAUCAGGAGGAACACCGGUGGCGAAGGCGGGUCUCUGGGCCUUACCUGACGCUGAGGAGCGAAAGCGUGGGGAGCGAACAGG